CCAGCUGGCUCAGUUGGUAGAGCAUGUGACUCUUGAUCUCGGGGUUGUGAGUUCAAGACCCACACUGGA
rnacentral:tRNA from 1 species